rnacentral:rRNA from 1 species
GAGUGCAGUGGGCCAUUUUUGGUAAGCAGAACUGGCGCUGUGGGAUGAACCAAACGUCGGGUUAAGGCGCCCGAAUAGAUGCUCAUUCGACACCAUGAAAGGUGUUGGUUGCUUAAGACAGCAGGACGGUGGCCAUGGAAGUCGGAAUCCGCUAAGGAGUGUGUAACAACUCACCUGCCGAAGCAACUAGCCCUGAAAAUGGAUGGCGCUGAAGCGUCUUGCCUAUACCCGACCGCCGGGGCAGAGGAGCGGCGCGCAAGCGUCGUUCGCAAGGCCCCGGCGAGUAGGAGGGUCGCGGCGGAGAGCGCAGAAGGGUCUGGGUGCGAACCUGCCUGGAGCCUCCGUCGGUGCAGAUCUUGGUGGUAGUAGCAAAUACUCCAGCGAGGCCCUGGAGGGCUGAUGUGGAGAAGGGUUCCGUGUGAACAGCCGUUGCACACGGGUCAGUCGAUCCUAAGCCCUAGGGGAAACCCGAGGUUGAUGGACGCGGUGUUUUACUUUUGAACGUACCGUGCGCGUGCGUACCGAAAAGCGUUUCGCGAGAGGAAGCCCGCGCGAGAGUCUCCCCUCCCCGGGAGAUUCCCGCGUUCCUCGAGCAGCCCGUGACGCUUAGUAGGUAGCCCGCGCCGCGCACAAAACCUUUUGAACGAGCAACACCGCCCGUCGGGCGACAGGGAAUCCGUUUCCUAUUACGGAACCCGGUUGCGGAACCGCACUCACGAUCCUCGUAUUGACACGGUAACGUGAAUGACCCUAGAGAUGCCGCCUGGAGUCCCCGGAAGAGUUUUCUUUUCUGCAUAAGCGUUCGGGUUCCAUGGAAUCCUCUCGCAGGGAGAUAUGGAAUGGAACGCGAAGAGCACCGCAGUUGCUGCGGUGUCGGGGAAUUCCCGUCGGCCCUUGAAAAUCUAGGUGAGGGUAACGUGGAGUGGUCGCGCCGGUUCGUACCCAUAUCCGCAGCAGGUCUCCAAGGUCAAGAGCCUCUAGUCGAUAGACUAAUG